AAAAAAAAAAAAAAAAAAAAGCCAAAAAACAUCAUAUCGCAAGAGGGCCAGCAUUCUAAACACAUGUAAAUAAAUUCAAUUCAAAGAUGACACAUAACGCAAUAAACGCAUUCCCGCAGCCAAAGAACUCCAGAGAAUACUCCACUACAUGAUUUGGCAAAAGAUUGCAUACGAGGACCCAAUAAUUGUUCAGUACAUGUCAUGUCCUUUGAACCUCGAAUUACUUCCUCUAUUGAACAGCUCGAAAAUAUCACUGAAAUGCAACUUCUGGUUUCAUCCACUUGCACAUCCAAGGAUUUCAAUUCUUGUCCUUAAUAUCGCCUCUUCCGUUUUUUCAGUCUUCCAGUUGCACUGCUACCAUUAUUGAAGUUUUUUGUUUGAUCACCAGUAUCACCUUCCAAGGGUAAGGUUUUAAUUUCAUCAAAGAAACCAUCAGUCAAAGCAAGCAAUCCAUCUCUUGAUUUCUUUAAAUGCUUCUCCUUCUUCUUCUCCAUCUUUGUAACAGGAGCACGUGUAAAGAGCUCCUCUUCUCGUUGGGCACGUUCUUCCCAUUGCUGCUGAUAUCUAAUAAAUUCCCUACUCUCAUUUCCAACAUUUUCUCUGACCUCUUCAGGUCUUCCCUCCAAAUCAUCUAUCAAGUCUUUCAUAUAGCCCUCCUUAGCUCGUCGCUGAGUCUCUUUCUCCCUUCUCAAGGCAUUUCUUUCCUGUUUUGACAUCUUAUCCUCCUCCAUGAGAGUGGGAGCAAUUUUUGGUGGUCGAUACACAGCAUUACCAUCCUCAGCCAUCAUAUCAGAUCUGCUGACCAACAUUUCUGGGUUUGGAUGAUAUUUCAACAAAUCCUCCGAUUUCUCAGUUGCCUCUGAUUCCUUUUCCUUCAGAUUUAGUUGCUCCGCUGCACGCCCAAUAUCCCUGGUGAGCUUUUGAACUUGGUAUUCCAUUUUUUGGUCAAUUGGCCGAAUCUUCUCCAAAAACAACCGAAUCUCUAUAAGGCUCUGAACUACAGGAUGUUUCUCAAUUGACAAGCCUUUUGCCUUGCGAAGCGAAUAAUAUACAAGUGAUUGGCAAUAGUUUAGGAGCAGCAAAUGUUUAGCCUCAAGAUAGCUUAUUCCGCCUGCUGUUGGAAAGUCAUUUGCUUUCACCUUAGCAGUUAAAGCCUGCACCUUACUUGUCACUGUAUCCAACACUCCUUUCAUUUCUUUCAGCAGUGCAGCUAAUUGAGGAGCCUCCUUCUUUAUGCUUCGAUCAAGGUCCAAAUUCUUAGUCUCCUCCAUCAUUUUCUUAGUUAAUCACCAACACCAAUACUGCAUUCAAUCAACUAUAUAGCCUUUAGUAGAAAAAUUGCAACUCUGAGAAGACGUCCCAAAUAUUCCUCUCCUUAAGACCUCAGAAGAAGAUACAGUACGUCUCAGAGAAGAAACGUUUGAACAAGUUCAUGUGUGUUGGGCGGCGUAAGAGAGCACCUGUUGGUGUGCCGACCAGAUUGAGGGCUUGUUGGUUCAGAGAAACUCGAACGGGAUAAGGGC
rnacentral:misc_RNA from 1 species